GUCUAGGGCUAUACCACCCUGAACGCUUCCGAUCUCGUCUGAUCUCGGAAACUAAGCAAGGUCGGGCCUGGUUAGUACUUGGAUGGGAGAAGAACCUUUGUUUUGGAGAGCAGAAAGCCAUUCCCU
rnacentral:rRNA from 1 species